rnacentral:rRNA from 1 species
AGCAGCCGCGGUAAUACGGAGGGUGCAAGCGUUAUCCGGAUUUAUUGGGUUUAAAGGGUCCGUAGGCGGAUGCGUAAGUCAGUGGUGAAAUCUCACAGCUCAACUGUGAAACUGCCAUUGAUACUGCGUGUCUUGAGUGAGGUUGAAGUAGCUGGAAUAAGUAGUGUAGCGGUGAAAUGCAUAGAUAUUACUUAGAACACCAAUUGCGAAGGCAGGUUACUAAGUCUCAACUGACGCUGAUGGACGAAAGCGUGGGGAGCGAACAGGAUUAGAUACCCUGGUAGUCCACGCUGUAAACGAUGCUUACUCGUUUUUGGGGAUUUAUCUUCAGAGACUAAGCGAAAGUGAUAAGUAAGCCACCUGGGGAGUACGAACGCAAGUUUGAAACUCAAAGGAAUUGACGGGGGCCCGCACAAGCGGUGGAUUAUGUGGUUUAAUUCGAUGAUACGCGAGGAACCUUACCAAGGCUUAAAUGGGAAUUGAUCGGUUUAGAAAUAGACCUUCCUUCGGGCAAUUUUCAAGGUGCUGCAUGGUUGUCGUCAGCUCGUGCCGUGAGGUGUUAGGUUAAGUCCUGCAACGAGCGCAACCCCUGUCACUAGUUGCCAUCAUUAAGUUGGGGACUCUAGUGAGACUGCCUACGCAAGUAGAGAGGAAGGUGGGGAUGACGUCAAAUCAUCACGGCCCUUACGCCUUGGGCCACACACGUAAUACAAUGGCCGGUACAGAGGGCAGCUACACAGCGAUGUGAUGCAAAUCUCGAAAGCCGGUCUCAGUUCGGAUUGGAGUCUGCAACUCGACUCUAUGAAGCUGGAAUCGCUAGUAAUCGCGCAUCAGCCAUGGCGCGGUGAAUACGUUCCCGGGCCUUGUACACACCGCCCGUCAAGCCAUGGAAGUCUGGGGUACCUGAAGUCGGUGACCGUAAAAGGAGC